rnacentral:rRNA from 1 species
GUGAGGAAUAUUGCGCAAUGGAGGCAACUCUGACGCAGCCAUGCCGCGUGCAGGAAGAAGGCGCUACGCGUUGUAAACUGCUUUUAACCGGGAAGAAACCCCAGGACGUGUCCUGGGUUGACGGUACCGGAGGAAUAAGCACCGGCUAACUUCGUGCCAGCAGCCGCGGUAAUACGAAGGGUGCAAGCGUUAUCCGGAUUCAUUGGGUUUAAAGGGUGCGUAGGCGGAGCGUUAAGUCAGUGGUGAAAUCCUGCAGCUUAACUGUAGACUUGCCAUUGAUAGUGGCGCUAUUGAGUGCGCUGGAAGUGGGCGGAAUGUGCCGUGUAGCGGUGAAAUGCUUAGAUAUGGCACAGAACACCAAUUGCGAAGGCAGCUCACUAAGGCGAUACUGACGCUGAGGCACGAAAGCGUGGGGAUCGAACAGGAUUAGAAACCCGUGUAGUCC